rnacentral:lncRNA from 1 species
GUAAUAUUUUCUUCCCUAGCAACAAAUAAUGUUUCAGAUGAAGGCUGCUCCGUUAACCUUGAUCCCAGAAUGAAGAAAGGGUGAAGCCUAGCUGCGGUUGACCCAUGAUGGGCAUACCGUACUUCACAAAGGAACAUAAAAGACAAGUACCAGGAAAAGACAUAUUUAUAUGGAAGAAAAAAAGGUGAAAACCAAAAUGACCCAAAUGAAAAGAAGAUAAAUAUCAUUCCUCAAACAAUACCUUCACAUCAUAGUUGGAAAAAGUGGAAAGAGACAGAAAACGGGAGGAGGUGACAUUCUUGCUGUUAAUAACAGGAAACCCAACUAUUGCGAGAAGAGGGAUAUUGGAGAUGAAAUUUUGAUGAUAAAAUUGCAUGGAGAGAAGGGCUGCUGAUGGAUGAAGGUA